rnacentral:tRNA from 1 species
GCAGCCGUAGUUCAGUUGGAUUAGAACGCCUCCCUGCGAAGGAGGAGGUCACAGGUUCGAGUCCUGUCGGUUGCACCA